rnacentral:rRNA from 1 species
UACAGAGGUCUCAAGCGUUGUUCGGAUUCAUUGGGCGUAAAGGGUGCGUAGGUGGCAUGGUAAGUCGGAUGUGAAAUCCCGGGGCUCAACCCCGGAACUGCAUUCGAUACUGCUGAGCUAGAGUACUGGAGAGGAGAUUGGAAUUUACGGUGUAGCGGUGAAAUGCGUAGAUAUCGUAAGGAAGACCGGUGGCGAAGGCGGGUCUCUGGACAGUUCCUGACACUGAGGCACGAAGGCCAGGGGAGCAAACGGG